rnacentral:lncRNA from 13 species
CUUUAAUGACCUUUGAUUCAUAUCCUUCACAUGAUCUUUUCUACUAAGCUUCAGACUUAAUUUUUCAUUUGUCAGCCAUGCUUUCCUUUUGGAUACCUUGCAGGUGCCCCACAUUGAACAUGUCCCAGGCUGAAGUCAUUGUCUCAUCAACACUCUUCACACUGACUGCAGCGGCUCCAUCAGCACUUGCUGCUUUGCUGUGCACUUUUAUGUUAAGAAUACAGCUUCUUUCCUUCAACCUCAUGAACCAACAACCUCUGCUACCUUCCGACUUUUCUGGCGCAGCUUCAUCACCUCUCUCAGCAUCCACAGAAUUGAAGGGAGGUAGUGCCUUGCUCUUGAUUAAUUGGCUUGUGGAAAUAUUGUGGCUGGUUUGAUCUUCUAUCCAGGCUGCUAAAACUGUCUCUACAUCAGCAAUAAGGCUACCUUGCUUUAUUUCUAGCUUUUGAUUUAAAAUAAGAAACGUGCAACUUGUCCUUUCGCUUGAACAGAGGCAAUUGUUGGGUUAUUAAUUGGCUGGAUUUCAAUAUCUUUGUGUUUAAGGGAAAGGGAGCCUGGAGGAAAGGGAGGAAGAGAUGGGGAAAUGGCCAAGCGGUGGAACAAUCAGAACAUAACUUUUAUUAAGUUCACCAUCUUAUAUGGUCAUGGUUCAUGGUCCCCCAAAGCAAUCACAAUAGUAAUAUCAGAGAUCACUGAAUACACCAUAACAGCUAUACUAAUAAUGAAACAGUUGGAAAUACUGCGAGAAUUAACAAUGUGACAAAGUGUGCAUGUGCUGUUGGAACACUGGCACCCACAGACUUGGUUGAUGAAGAGUUGCCCUAAGCUUUCACUCUGCCAAAACCACAAUAUUUGCAAAGUGCAGUAAAGUCAAGCACAAUAAAACAAGGUAUGCCUGUAAACUCCAUUCCCCGAAUCUUUUCGUCUCUGAUAAAACGAGCAGGUUAGGAUCAGAUUAAAUAGUUUCACCUGAGGGCAGACCUUGUUAAGAGAGCAGAAUGCUCUGGUACAUUUCAAAAUGGCUUGCUUCGUCCCGCUGCUGCUGGAGAGGGAGGGAAUGUUUCUCCAGUACUGUUAGUGAGGACCUGGUAGAGAUCCAGACAUACAAGUCCAGAAAAUGUGGGGCCUUCCCAAUGACUGGGUCUCCCUGGAAUUUUCACGCCUCAGACUCCUCCACUCAGAGCCUCGGUGAAUCCAUCAGUUACACCUCAGCUAUCCGUCCGCAGCACUGCUUCCCGGGCCGUUUCAGCUCUGGUCUUAAGAAGUUGAACAUGGUGGAUUGGAAGCAUGGACCUUGGACUACCUUCCAGCCCUGGUACAGUUAAUCUGACGGAUUUACCCAUAACAAAAUGGACACAUGAUAUCUCUGAACUCAAUCAGCUGUUACUCUUCUCUUUCCUUUUUUUUAAUGAGAUAUAACAGUAAAACUGGAGACUACCUAAAAUAAUCUUUUGUAUUUAAUUUUUUAUACCUACUUAGCAUGCCAAAUAUACAUAGAUAUACUUCACAUAUACAUAAUUUUACAUAAAUGUGCAAGCAUCAGCUAAAACAG